rnacentral:rRNA from 1 species
CAUUACUUUUCAGGACAAACGGGGGUCUAUAGCAAUAUAGCCCUUGCCUGCAUCCGUGUUUUUUGCGUACUUAUUGUUUCCUCGGUAGGCUUGCCUACCGGUUGGACAACCUUAAACUCUUUUGUAAUUGCAGUCAGCGUCUGAAUAACUUAAUAGUUACAACUUUCAACAACGGAUCUCUUGGUUCUGGCAUCGAUGAAGAACGCAGCGAAAUGCGAUAAGUAGUGUGAAUUGCAGAAUUCAGUGAAUCAUCGAAUCUUUGAACGCACAUUGCGCCCCUUGGUAUUCCAUGGGGCAUGCCUGUUCGAGCGUCAUUUGUACCCUCAAGCUCUGCUUGGUGUUGGGUGUUUGUCCUGCCUUGCGUAUGGACUCGCCUUAAAGUUAUUGGCAGCCGGCGUAUUGUCCGUGGAGCGUAGCACAUUUUACGCACCUGGUUUCAAAGCGUUGGCGUCCAUAAAGCCUAACUUAUCACUUUUGACCUCGGAUCAGGUAGGGAUACCCGCUGAACUUAA